GCCAUCGGCCAUACCAUGCUGAAUGCGCCGGUCUCGUCCGAUCACCGAAGCUAAGCAGCAUCGGGCUCCGUCAGUACUUG
rnacentral:rRNA from 1 species